rnacentral:misc_RNA from 1 species
GAUGAAGAACGUAGCGAAAUGCGAUAAGUAAUGUGAAUUGCAGAAUUCAGUGAAUCAUCGAAUCUUUGAACGCACAUUGCGCCCCCCAGUAUUCUGGCGGGCAUGCCUGUUCGAGCGUCAUUUCAACCAUCAAGCCCUGCUUGUGUUGGGGUCCUGCGGCUGCCCGCAGGCCCUGAAAACCAGUGGCGGGCUCGCUAGUCACACCGAGCGCAGUAGCACAUCUCGCUCAGGGCGUGCGGCGGGCUCCAGCCGUUAAAGCACCUACCUUUCGCAAGGUUGACCUCGGAUCAGGUAGGAAUACCCGCUGAACUUAAGCAUAUCAAUAAGCGGAGGA